GCCCUCGGGGUGUUUAAGCCUCGCAGCCAUUCGAAGAGGACAGUGACAUCUCCGUUUUACCUGUAGAUUUUGAGCUGAAGAUGGUGCAGAAAGUCUGCGCCAGGGCAGGGAAGGGAACCAGAGUCUGUGCAUCCCUGGUGAGCUGACUGCUGCCGUCAGCCGGCCAGGAGAGAGGGAAGACGGACUUCAUGCCCCUCUGCACCAAGGACUCACAGGGUUAGCGGACCAGGGGAGCAGUCUGGGUGUUAGGAGGAGGCUGUUGUAGCCAUCGCUGCCAACGCACACAAGCAAGCAAAGUGUUUGUUAGAUAAACUGAUGGAGGUGGAAAGGGGAAAAAAAGAAGCUUUCAGGCACACGAUCCCUUCUCAAGACUUGUUUGUUUUUUAAGUUGUUUUCUUUUCCUCCUGUUCUCUCUCCCCAAGAUUUCUAUAAAAUGCUGUUGUUUUAGAAGGUAACUGUAAGUCUCUUUUUCCAGGCACUGCAGAGCUGAUAUAGAACUCCUCUGGAAUAAGAUAAACUAAAAAAAAAAAAAAAAAUCUCAUUUGCAAUCCUGCUAUGGCUGUUGCUUGAGAACUACAGUUGGAAAAUUUACCCUGAAUCAUAUUUUAAGAGAGAUGAUUUUAUCCAAAACAAGGCAUUUUGUUUAAGGUUCCUGUUUAUAGCCUUUUUAUCUACCAACUGCGUAGUGCAGUAAAUAGAAGAGAAAAAUUCGUUGUAACUGAGCAGGUAGCAGACACAUCAUAACAUGGGGAGGGAAGGAAGCAGACACCGAUGACGGCAGAUCAAGGUUGCGUAUCUGAGCUUCUGGGGUGCACCACUAAUUCAUACUGCCAAACUUUGCUCUGUCACCGGGAAGGCAGAAAAACGUCCUUUUAGAAAUAAAUCAUAUGGACAUCGUCUUGGAAUGACUGUCAUUGCAGCAGCCGAAGCAUUAAGAAAAACGCUGAGAUCAGCGUUGAAUGUGCCCAUUGCAGGUGUGUUGAUUGGCCUUGGUUUAAUAAGAUUGACUGAUGAUGACAUCAUGUUACCAUCAGCUGAUUUGGAUAAACUAUUCUGUUGUUUCUUUAGGCUGCUGAGAAGGAGACUGAUUCUUUCAAGAAAUUAAAUCAUCUCUGAAAAUAUUAUUAAGGUUCAAACCCCAUGGCUCCACAGAUGAUGCAAUAUAAGGCAGAGAAGGAGAAAUUCAGCCACCUAGGCAUAGGCAUUUAGUGACGCUUUAAGCAGUCUAGUGUUUCCUAGACAGCUGCACGGGGCCAGCAGACGGGACACAGGACACAAGGGAGACCCGCACCCUCCAGAAGUAGCUGGGUGAAAGUUGCCAGGGUGAAAUGGCAGAAAGAGAGGAACAGAGCUCCACUAAAAUCACAGCUUUGAGCAAAAUCACACUCAGGCUCCCGCAGCCACCUCACAUAAAUGAGGCUGUGCACAUAAAGCUUGCAAGCAAAGAUGUAACAAUGCCUUUAUCUUUUCUUGAGAUUGAACAAAGUCACUUGUGGCUAUUAAGUUCUCAUCUGUGUGAUCUUAGGCUAUCUACGCUAAUAGAAGUAGAUUACUAAGGAGAUUGGUGAUUACAGACCUGGUAACUGUCCGCUUUAGAAUUUAAUUUGUAUCUUCUGAUAUAGUAUCUUCUGAUAAAGAUGCUUUUGACUUUUUGAUAUUUCAUGACAUUUUCAUUUUUCAUAUUAGGACUUUGUCCUAACAAUCUGUCAAUAUUCGUGUCCUGUGCUUCAGUAAAAGCUUUCUACUUAUCUCAUGAUAUCCUGAUGUGAGUAUCAUCUUUCAAAAUACCUGCAAACGAACAUUUUGAAGGACCAUGCUAAGGAGGCAGCAGCAUGAACGGGGACCGUCUGGCAGUUGCUCCGGCAGAUGUAACCACAGUCAGGGUAUGAUUAGUCUGCUUUGAAUGUAUGCAUUCAGCCCUUGGCCAAUUUUUAAUCUGGGACUAUCCUGCUGCCUGAAUGCAGCAGUUCUGCCAAUUGCAACUGGAGCAAGGAGAUGACAGGCAGCACUACCUCUGCAGUUCACGUCUUGGGUCAGCCUGUUCUCCUCUCUAGGGUAAUAAUCUUCUCUUGGUGCAAUGUGACAUAGUCCCACAGCUCCAGCAGCAUAAGUGCUUUUUAUUUGCGCUGCUGAGGGUUAAGGGCUCAAGCCUGCUAAUGCUGAGUGACAGAAUUGUUUUUUAGCUUUUUCCUCUUAAGAAAAACAUCCUAGGAAAUUGCAUAACCUCCUUUGAUCCUCUUGAUAACUGAACUUUAAGGUUGCAAACCCACGCAUUGAAAAGUUAGUAAAUACCACAUUUACUGUGUGCUAAGCAACCUUAUUUGCUUUUUUGUGCUAUGUGCUAUGAUCUAGUCUUAAAUUAUAUAAAUUACAGUCUCUCCUUUUCCUUCAGGACCGUGCACCAUUGAAUGCAGAAUGAAAAAUAGAAAAGAGUUGAAGUAUGUUUGCAUGUAUAGCCAUAUGUCCUGCCUUUGGAUCUCAAUUAUGCCAAGCAAACAGCUUUCUCUUACUCGGUUUUAAAAACGGUGUAGGCUCUUGCAGUCCUGACCUGUUGGCACUAUACAACCAAAGUCUUCAGAAGCCAGAGGCAAUUACUCUCUGAUGUCUUUCCAACAGCAUUAUGUAAAAUAUGCUUCCUCUUUACCAGGUUCUCACUUGGAAAACCUUCAUCUGCCAUUCCAGAGGUAACAUUCUCAAAAAAGGCCCAGGAUGAAGUGGGCGUGAAGGCUAAGCUCCUGCCUUGUCCAGCGCUGGUCCCUUCAGGUGACUGUAUCGGAGGUGGUGCUUACUUAGCUCAACAAAGCUGUUAGUAGAGCAUAGGCAACGCUACUGCUGUUACUCAAUUCAAACAAACAAACAAACAAACAAACAAACAAACAAACAAGAAACCCACCCCCCACACAUACACAUACAAGAUACAGAGGAGAAAUUCAGUGUACAUGAAUUUGGCCUGUUUUCUGAGCCUGGAAGUGGGAUGAACCCAAACACAUGGCCUGCACAAAUCCAUCCAUGGUGCUUUGUUUCAGGAUGUUAAAAUAACUACACUAUCAUUUAAUUAGUCUCUUAAAAAUAUAUUUUCAAAUUACCUUUUGUUUAGAAUGAGCCAAUAUGCUUCAUUUGUAACUAAUUGGGGCACACAGAUAGGACUGAAGCCCCUAGGUAGAACCAAAUCAAUGGCUGCCCAUUUUUAACAUGGUAUAAUACAUGGGAGACCUCCUACCAGGAUCUUAGAGGGCAGGUUAAUACUUAACUGCUUGAAGUCAAGUAUGCUUGAAACCUACUCUUUUUCAUGUAAAUAAAGUCCUCUUCUAAUCUACUUGUGGUUCACCAAUGUAAUCUCUAUUCUCAAAAUCGUUUAUAGGGAAAACGAAUGCUAUCUGAACCAGAUGCUGCUAAACAUGCCACUACACCAGUGUAGCAUUUACGUCCUGAAACAAAAAAAUGCCUAGUUCCCCUGCAAACAACAAAACUUCAAAGAAUAUCAAACAUGAUUUACAGCUCAGGGGUGGAGAGACUUCUUCCUCAUCUUUUGUCCUUUUCCUCCAAGGGACAGCAUGCUGUUCAGGCAAAUCAAAAUCCCUCCCUCCUGGGUGCUGGAGACUAGUUUAUGCGGUCAGAGAUUAGCUGAAUUUUUACCGUUUGGCAGAAAGGGACGAACAGGAGUGAGUCACUGAGCUCGGGCUGUAUUUUGGCUACGGAUGCUGUCUCACUCUGUGGGGCUGUGGAGUUGUCACCUCAUUUCCAUGCCUCAGUCUUGCUAUCUGUAAUAUGGACAUAAUAAUCUUUUAGUGCUUUUCACUUGGAUGACAAGACUUUGUGCUUUUCCUUAUGAACACACAGAGCUUUAUACAUAUUCUGCCAAUGAUCUUUGCAAAUCUAAGUGGAAAUAAUAACAAAUGUAGAGCAGUAGCUGCCUUAGUGAGAACUGGCAAAUUAGAAAACCAGAAGUGAUGGCAAAAGCUGCACUCCCCCAUUCUCCCAAAUGUUUAAGGAUGCCAUGGGGUUAAACUUCUCCCUUUCUAAACACGGACCCUUAGUGAGGAUCCAAGUAGAAGCUGAAUCUAAAACUGCCAGUGAUUUUAAGGGCUCACUGGGAUGGAUGGAUGGGUCUGUAUUGCUAAGUGUACCAUCAGCACAAGCCUGAAAAACAACACUAUUUCACUGACAGUCUUUUUUGCUUCCUAUUUCAAAGCAUGCUGUAUGAGAUGGGCUUUUUGAGUGAGCAAGGGGAGCAGAAGAGAAAGCAACAGCUGGCAGGCUUGUGACUAGAGGUAGAAACGGCAACUUUGAGUCCACAGACAUUCCUCAAAAGCAAACAAAAACUGCAACAAAUCAUCCAUAAAACGCAGUCAAAAAGGACUUCGUUUAAUUAGUGAUAUGUAAAGACUUUUGCAUAGAAAAAAGGUUAACAAAGUAAUGCAUAAAAGACCAACUAGGUACAGUAUUUUUAAAACAAAUAUUUUAAAGUAUAUUUUGCAUAAUGUUUAACAUUCUCAAUGCUUAUUGCUUUCUCCACACAGCAGAGAAAUCAAGUGCAUAAUAAUACAUGCUGUGUUUUAUUUUUAUUUUUUUAUUUUUUUACAUAAAAACUCUAGUUCUUGACUUGAUGUAUUAAAAUACUUAGGUUAUUUUAAGUCACUGUAAUAAAAAAUGAAAGCAAAACAUUUUAUGCAGCACUAGUUGUCUGGGUAUUGACAAAAUAAUUUACUGACAUCCCCUUUAAUACAUUCAUUUUGGUUUGGAAUCAAACCCACAUUACAAUGUUGGCAUGUUAAUAGCCAAUUUAAAAAUUGUCCCUAUCGUAACUUCAUUCAUACCCAGAGAGAUCAUUAUCCCAGAAGCUGAUAGUGAAAAGAAGGGGGAUCUUGCACAGAAUCGGCUAAAAGUAAAUGUCCAAAUGCAGCUAAAUAAGUUAAUUUGAACUCUUGCAACAUUGAAUCUCGUGUGCUGGCACGAAUCAAUCAUAUUGAAGGGUGCACACUUUAAAUAAGUGGCUACUUCUGGGUGCGUAAUAAAAU